AUUGAACGCUGGCGGCAGGCCUAACACAUGCAAGUCGAGCGAGCGGCGCACGGGUGAGUAAUGUCUGUGAACCUGCCUGAUGGAGGGGGAUAACUACUGGAAACGGUAGCUAAUACCGCAUACCAUCAGAUGUGCCCAGAUGGGAUUAGCUCGUGGGUGGGGUAACGGCUCACCUGGGCGACGAUCCCUGGCUGGUCGGAGAGGAUAACCAGCAACAUUGGACAUGGGAAACGCUCCAGACGCCUACGGGGGGCAGCAGGGGGGAAUAUUGGAAAAUGGGGGAAAGCCUAAUGCAGCCAUGCCGCGUGUGUGAAGAAGGCCUUCGGGUUGUAAAGCACUUUCAGCGGGGAGGCGUUACCCGCAGAAGAAGCACCGGCUAACUCCGUGCCAGCAGCCGCGGUAAUUC
rnacentral:rRNA from 1 species